rnacentral:RNase_P_RNA from 1 species
AGAGAAGACUAAAUGUCUGCUUGCGAAAGCGAGAGGAAAGUCCGAACACCACAGGACAGGAUACUUCCUAAUGGGAAGACCCGGUAACGGGUAACCAGCUCCACAGAAACAAACCGCCUGAGAUUUACUCUCAGGUAAGGGUGAAAUGGUAGUGUAAGAGACUACCAGUCAUAUCGGUGACGGUAUGAGCUCGGAAAGCUUUAUCCGGUGCAAUACCAAAUAGGGGUGAUUUUGUGCUUGCACAAGCAGAAUGGUCCGUUCUGCACAUCAUCCGGGUAGGUAGCUAAAACCGUCUCCUUGUGAGCCUGAUGGAUAGUGAUAUACGGUUGAGAUGAAUAGACAUUACUUUGCCUUUUACGCAAAGAACAGAAUUCGGCUUAUGGUCUUCUCUUUUU